rnacentral:rRNA from 1 species
UACGAAGGUGGCAAGCGUUACUCGGAAUUACUAGGCGUAAAGGGCAGGUAGGUGGUUCGGUAAGUCUGUUGUGAAAGCUCCUGGCUUAACUGGGAGAGGUCAACAGAAACUGCUGGGCUUGAGUAUAGGAGAGGGUACUGGAAUUCCCGGUGUAGCGGUGAAAUGCGCAGAGAUCGGGAGGAACACCAAUGGCGAAAGCAGGUACCUGGACUAUUACUGACACUCAGCUGCGAAAGCUAGGGGAGCAAACAGG